rnacentral:rRNA from 1 species
UUUUUUUUUUGUUUCCCCCCCCCGCGGGCGGAACUCGCAUAUCAAUAAGCGGAGGAAAAGAAACUAACAAGGAUUCCCCUAGUAACUGCGAGUGAAGCGGGAAAAGCUCAAAUUUAAAAUCUGAUGGUCUUUGGCCGUCCGAGUUGUAAUUUAGAGAAGCGUCUUCCGCGCUGGACCGUGCACAAGUCUCCUGGAAUGGAGCGUCAUAGAGGGUGAGAAUCCCGUCUUUGGCACGGACACACCAGGGCUUUUGUGAUGCGCUCUCGAAGAGUCGAGUUGUUUGGGAAUGCAGCUCAAAAUGGGUGGUGAACUCCAUCUAAAGCUAAAUAUUGGCGAGAGACCGAUAGCGAACAAGUACCGUGAGGGAAAGAUGAAAAGCACUUUGGAAAGAGAGUGAAACAGUACGUGAAAUUGUUGAAAGGGAAACGCUUGAAGUCAGUCGCGUCGACCGAGACUCAGCCUUGCCUUGGCUUGGUGUACUUCUCGGCUGACGGGUCAGCAUCAAUUUUGCCCCUUGGAUAAUGGCGAGGGAAAUGUGACACCUUUGCGGUGUGUUAUAGUCCCUCGUCGCAUGCAAGGGUUGGGAUUGAGGAACUCAGCACGCGCCUUUGGGCGUCGGGGCUUUGCCCACGAUACGUGCUUAGGAUGUUGGCGUAAUGGCUUUAAACGACCCGUCUUGAAACACGGACCAAGGAGUCUAACAUGCCUGCGAGUGUUCGGGUGGAAAACCCGUGCGCGCAAUGAAAGUGAAAGUUGGGACCUCUGUCGUGGAGGGCACCGACGCCCGGACCAGACCUUCUGUGACGGCUCUGCGGUAGAGCAUGUAUGUUAGGACCCGAAAGAUGGUGAACUAUGCCUGAAUAGGGUGAAGCCAGAGGAAACUCUGGUGGAGGCUCGUAGCGAUUCUGACGUGCAAAUCGAUCGUCAAAUUUGGGUAUAGGGGCGAAAGACUAAUCGAACCAUCUAAUAGCUGGUACUGUCGUUUUUUUUUGAUUUAAAAAAAAAAGAGAAAAAAA